CAUGGCUGGUGCAGCUGACAGAGAAGAAGCAACUGACCCACACAAACAUUUGUGUGCUGUACAGCAGUGCAGAUGCUGGCGGGAAAAGUAUCACGUUUUUCUGCAAUUUGUGCCCGCUGGGUGUGAAAAAACAAGUCCGGACGUCCACCACAUCACUGUGGAAUUUGAAGCGACACAUCGAGUUGAAUCAUUCGGCCAUGUCUUGAGAAGUAUCUGGAAGUGACUGCGUAUAAGAGGACGGGAGCCCAAAACAUAAACCAGUGACGGCAGUUUCGGACAAUAGACGAUGCCUCAUCCAGCUGUGGAGGAUGACCCCAACCACCCUGUGCGGAAGCCUGUCGUUUUUUUCUGCUGUAAGGGAAUGAUGGAUGGCAUCAUACUGCUGCUCCUCCUCUGGCUCCUCAUUCAGGUCGGCUUCAUCAAGAAUUUGGAAGGUAUGACAUUUAGGUUAAUGAGUGUGUGGAGUGUGUUGGAGGGAGGACAGGUGAAGAAAGAUUGAUUCCUAGGAUAAAAGGUGAGCUGAAAUUAUAUUACUGUGAAUCUGUUGACCUGUUUUGUUGCAGGUUAAACACUAAUAUUUACUGGAAAUGUUCUUUACAGUGUAUAUGUGUCAGUAGAAUUAGUAGUUCAUCUAGUCACACAACGAUUGUGCAAAAUCAAGAAACAACAUAAACAACUUUUGAAAAACUAGAAAUAUAGUUUCCCAGUCCCCUGGAUACUGGAUUCUCCAGAGCAACUAAUAAAGCUUCCAGCAAGUAGAUUUUGUUUUACAGUAACAAUCAGCUCAUUGGAACUGAAAUUCCGAUUCAACUGGUUACAAACAAAUAAUGGUUUGAAUGAACAAACAAACUCUGGCACUAUUAACGGAGAAUACAUCCUCCUGGGAGGGAAGAAAAUUCACAGGAAAAGCAGCGAAAUGCAGUUGUUGCAAGAACAAGAACUUUACUGCAAUCCUCGCAAAAUCGACCAUAUCAUGAAUUUUAGAUUUAAAAUUGUCUGUAUCCAAAAUGGUUCUUGAUACUGAGUGAAUAUACAAUAAAAAAAUGCAACAAAAUAAAUUUAGGACAUGCUCUGGAGGCCCAGUGACACUGUCAUCAUAGGUCAAAAGUCUUUAUACACACAACUAACAUACACUACUCACAAUAAGUUAGGGAUAUUGUGAGAGACUCAGUGGAUGUCAUACAAACGGUGUUUGUUUCACUUCAGAGAUUUUUGGGAUAGGGAGGCAAUUGUAUUGGGGUGAUAGACACACCUCAUUUUGUGUUUUCCACGUAAUGGUCUCACUGUGUACAGUGCGCCUUACAUAUUGGGGCCAAAACCAAAAAAUACUAAAAGACAACCCUUUUCAAUGUGACAUCAAUUUCAACAUUCUGUAGGUAUAAAAAGCUGGUAUUGUCAGUAAGUCAUUCCAAGUUCAUCAUUCAAACAGCCAUGAACACACGACAUCACUUAACAGACAAGCAGAGCCACCUGGCCAUAGCGUGCCUUUGGGUCGGUGGCAGGCAGUCAAAUGUUGUUCGUGAACUUGAUGUGUCUCGAAGUGUCAUCAGCAGACUUGCAUCAAGACACAGAACUACUGGCAGAGUUCGUGACAGACCCAGAAGUGGAGCCCCAUGAGUGACAGACUGCAACGAUGACCAGUACCGAAGGACCUAUGCACUCAGACAUCGUUAUACAACUGCCACACAGCUGCAGGCCUGUUUAUGAGAUGUGAGGGGUACUACGGUUUCCAGACAAACCAUUCGCAACCAACUCCACCGCUUUGGCUUGUGCAGGUGACUCCACUGACACCAAGACACCGCUGUGAACGUUUGCAGUGGACACAAGAUCAUGUGACCUGGACAAUGCAGCAGUGAUCUACUGUCCUGUCCAUUGAUGAGUGUCGGGUCACCUUGCACAGAAAUGAUGGUUGUCAGCAUUGCUGGAGAAGACGAGGUGAGCGAUACGCCAAGGUCAACACGGUCCCCAGGGUUCGCUUUGGUGGAGGAGGUGCAACAGUCUGGGCAGGCAUCACCAGUCAGCGCAAAACAGAUUUGGUUAUUGUAGAUGGCUCAGUCACUGCACGUUCUUACCUCAGAGACAUCAUAGAACCCAUCAUCAUCCCCCAAUUCCACCAGCACACCCCCAACUUUCUGUUCAUGGAUGAUGAUGCUCCACCACAUCGUGCCAGAUUUGUCACAGCUCGACUUCAGGAAGUCAGAGUGCCUCAUAUGGUAUGGCCAGCAAUGUCCCCUGACCUGAACCCCAUAGAGCACGUCUGGGACCUGCUGAAGCAGAGACUGGAUGAUCGUACCCCACCCCCACAUGACCGGGCAGAACUGCGUGUAGCACUUGUGGAAGAGUGGAACUCAUUGCUUCAGAACACCAUCAUGAGGCUAGUGAGGAGCAUGAGAUGUCGCUGUCAAGCUGUCAUUGCAGCAAAUGGUGGAAACACCCGCUACUGACAUUUUCAAUUUUUGUUAUUUGGGGCUAUCCUUGUUAUUGUCUAAAGUUUUGGGGUAAUAAACAUUAAACUAAUGAAAA